rnacentral:lncRNA from 1 species
CCGCUGGACUAGGGUGGCAGUGCCAGCAUCAUGGGGGGUCUCAACUGCGCACCGUGGCUGUGUGCUGAGGCCUGCCUGAACUCCAGCGGCCUUGCGAUGCCACUCCCCUCCCUAGGCCGCGUCGUCAUGCAUCGACCCGGCACUGAAAGGAGAACGGCAAGAUCUCGGAAAUUCGGCAUGGACAACUUGGAAAGACGCACCAGCACUGUCACACUGCAGCCUCCCCCCUAACGCCUGGAAGCCCAGACAGCAUGGCCGGCAUGGUCUCGCCUCCCCCAUGAGGCGCACUGGAUGUGCAACUUCUCCCGGCCUCAGACCAGCCCAGGAAUCACAGAG